rnacentral:miRNA from 1 species
CACAUUAAGGACUCAUAUUGGAG